AGUGAACGCUGGCGGUAGGCCUAACACAUGCAAGUCGAACGGCAGCACAGUGAGAGCUUGCUCUUACGGGUGGCGAGUGGCGGACGGGUGAGGAGUACAUCGGAAUCUACUUUUUGGGGGGGGAUAACGUAGGGAAAGUUACGCUAGUACAGCAUACGACCUACGGGGGAGAGCGGGGGAUCUUCGGACCUGGCGGGAUUGAAUGGGCUGCUGGUGGAUUAGCUGGUUGGUGGGGUAAAGGCCCACCAAGGCGCCGAUAGGUGGCCGGCCUGAGAGGGUGGACAGGCACAUUGGGCCUGCGAUACGGCCCAGACUCCUAUGGGAGGCAGCAGUGGGGAAUCUUGCACAAUGGGAGGAAGCCUGAUGAAGAAACGCCGCGUGCGGGAUGCCGGCCUUCGGGUUGUGAACCGCUUUAGCCUGUGACGAAGCGUGAGUGACGGUAAUGGGUAAAGAAGCACCGGCUAACUACGUG
rnacentral:rRNA from 1 species